rnacentral:rRNA from 1 species
CCUACGGGAGGCAGCAGUGGGAAUCUUGCGCAAUGGGCGAAAGCCUGACGCAGCCAUGCCGCGUGAAUGAUGAAGGUCUUAGGAUUGUAAAAUUCUUUCACCGGGGACGAUAAUGACGGUACCCGGAGAAGAAGCCCCGGCUAACUUCGUGCCAGCAGCCGCGGUAAUACGAAGGGGGCUAGCGUUGCUCGGAAUUACUGGGCGUAAAGGGAGCGUAGGCGGAUAGUUUAGUCAGAGGUGAAAGCCCAGGGCUCAACCUUGGAAUUGCCUUUGAUACUGGCUAUCUUGAGUACGGAAGAGGUAUGUGGAACUCCGAGUGUAGAGGUGAAAUUCGUAGAUAUUCGGAAGAACACCAGUGGCGAAGGCGACAUACUGGUCCGUUACUGACGCUGAGGCUCGAAAGCGUGGGGAGCAAACAGGAUUAGAUACCCUGGUAGUCCACGCUGUAAACGAUGAGUGCUAGUUGUCGGCAUGCAUGCAUGUCGGUGACGCAGCUAACGCAUUAAGCACUCCGCCUGGGGAGUACGGUCGCAAGAUUAAAACUCAAAGGAAUUGACGGCUGAGACGNGCGAGACGACGACGAGGAGAG